rnacentral:rRNA from 1 species
GCGACCCCAGGUCAGGCGGGGCUACCCGCUGAAUUUAAGCAUAUCAAUAAGCGA